AGCCCUAAGUGGGUGGUAAACUCCAUNUAAGGCUAAAUAUGACCACGAGACCGAUAGCGAACAAGUACCGUGAGGGAAAGUUGAAAAGCACUUUGAAGAGAGAGUUCAAGAGUACGUGAAACCGUUUAGGGGUAAACCUGAGAAACCCGAAAGGUCGAAGGGAGAAAUUCAUUCGCGUUUCGCGAUAGGCAUCGUGUUCGCGCGCGACGGAGAGCGUUUCGACGUUAUUCCGCGCCACGAGCUCGACGAUCCUGACGCGAACGCGUGCACUUUUCUCCUGGUAGGACGUCGCGAUCCGUUGAGUGUCGGUCUACGGCUGACGGUGGAGCCCGAGAGUACGAUUCGCGUCGUUGCCCUCGGACCCGUCUGUUUCCCGGCCGGCUCGCUCGACGGUACGCAAACGGUUUUAGGCCGCUCACUUUACGAGCGUUCGGCUCGUGGCAAGCGCGCCAUUUGUUUGUCGGUGCGCGGACCUAGCGCCGCGCCUGACCUUUGGUGACUGUUGGCUACGAUGUUCUCGAACAGACCUUUUACCGAUCUGCGACGCUAUAGCUUUGGGUACUUUC
rnacentral:rRNA from 1 species